CAGCCGCCACGGUAAUGCGUAGGUGGCAAGCGUUGUCCGGAAUUAUUGGGCGUAAAGCGCGCGCAGGCGGCCUAUCCAGUCUGUCUUAAAAGUUCGGGGCUCAACCCCGUGAUGGGAUGGAAACUAGUAGGCUAGAGUAUCGGAGAGGAAAGCGGAAUUCCUAGUAUAGCGGUGAAAUGCGUAGAUAUUAGGAAGAACACCAGUGGCGAAGGCGGCUUUCUGGACGAAGACUGACGCUGAGGCACGAAAGCUAGGGGAGCGAACGGGAUUAGAUACCCCCGUAGUCCCUGUCUCUUAUACA
rnacentral:rRNA from 1 species